UACGGAGGGGGCUAGCGUUGUUCGGAAUUACUGGGCGUAAAGCGCACGUAGGCGGCUUUGCAAGUUAGAGGUGAAAGCCCGGGGCUCAACUCCGGAAUUGCCUUUAAAACUGCAUCGCUAGAAUUGUGGAGAGGUAAGUGGAAUUCCGAGUGUAGAGGUGAAAAUUCGUAGAUAUUCGGAAGAAACACCAGUGGCGAAGGCGACUUACUGGACACAUAUUGACGCUGAGGUGCGAAAGCGUGGGGAGCAAACAGG
rnacentral:rRNA from 1 species